AUAAAGAAACAAGCCAUAACACAUUUAGUUACUAAGCCGAAAUAACAGUGCACACGAGCCACCAUCCUGCGACCCCCUGACAUGGGCUACUUGCUUGAAAUACAAGCAAGAAUUGCUGAUUUUCUUGCACUGCCAAAGUUACAAAUCCACAUCCGCCAACGACAACGUCGUCAUCGAAACUCGGCAGAAAAGGCAGACGGAUCGGUGUGAGCUGCGGCAAAAACGCGGUCCGAAAGAAAGUGGAGGAAAUUGCUCCGUAAUAUCAACCACGGGGUGAAUUGACACCGAAUCCCGGAACUUGGGCAGGAGCAGUGCCCAACACAGGAGAAACAGAUCGCACUAUCGGUCUGGAAACAUCACGCUCUACAAAUCUUGUACAAGAUCCGGCAAGCUGCUGCACAAUUCGGCAAGCUCGCACUGAGUUUUUCCUGCGGUGCGAACGCGAAUAAAAGUGUCCGAAGGUAAGAAGUUCCCGAAAAGCCCUAUGCAAAAAGGUCUAACCCCACAUUUGACAACGCAGGAGGAACGUGUCAGCCAUCAUCCGGUUAGAGGAUCGGGGUCGGCAAGAUUGACCGCACACGACGGCGUAGUCAGCGAGUCCGGACCGAGCCACACACACCGCGAAUUCACGGAGGAAAAACGGGUGUCCGGGCAGCGACCUGAAUACGGGUAGGACGAUCUGCACCAUUGCGAACUGGCAACCCACAUCGUUCCGAAGCGCUGAUUCCUUGGCCUGCACGUAUCCAUAGGAUCGCUCCGGCUCUUGAUCACUCAACGGAAUCGAUCGGAUCACCCUGUUAUCCGUGCGCGGUGCCAAACGCAUCGCUUCAACUGAACCGUCUCGAGAAAAGGCCUUUCAUAGAAAGUAAGUCUAAUUGCUGCAACAAAACGAUCUGGGGCUAACACGGGCGGAUUUCCGCAGGGCCUUUUCUUGUGUCUUUUGGACUUUCGCAGACAGUACGCCGACGGGUAAGCUGCCAACAAGAAAACACUCGCCAAGAUUGAGUGGCCACCACCUAACGCGUCCGGAAAAGCCGGUGUGCAGCGCAGCGAGAUGCGAUCUGUGGAGGGUUGUCGUCGUCCAAACUAAGAGCCGUCCGAUCGUCGGGAAUGGCCCAUGUCAGCAUCAGCCGGUCCGUGAGUAGCAAGUUAAGCAAAACAAUAUUUUAGUAUUAAGAAAGAAACCAGUUAGGCAGAAUAGGGUCAGUGCAGGAAUCUGAUUGAAUACAUGGCUUGGUUAUGAAACCGUAAUCUGAUCAUUAGUUGGCGUUUGAUUUUGUGCUAGCCGAGACGACUGUAAGCCAUUUCUUCUGCUUAGGUCGAACCUCCAC